CCUACGGGGGGCAGCAGUGAGGAAUAUUGGUCAAUGGACGAGAGUCUGAACCAGCCAAGUAGCGUGAAGGAUGACUGCCCUAUGGGUUGUAAACUUCUUUUAUAUGGGAAUAAAAUGUUCCACGUGUGGGAUUUUGUAUGUACCAUAUGAAUAAGGAUCGGCUAACUCCGUGCCAGCAGCCGCGGUAAUACGGAGGAUCCGAGCGUUAUCCGGAUUUAUUGGGUUUAAAGGGAGCGUAGGUGGAUUGUUAAGUCAGUUGUGAAAGUUUGCGGCGUAACCGUAAAAUUGCAGUUGAAACUGGCAGUCUAGAGUACAGUAGAGGUGGGCGGAAUUCGUGGUGUAGCGGUGAAAUGCUUAGAUAUCACGAAGAACUCCGAUUGCGAAGGCAGCUCACUGGACUGCAACUGACACUGAGGCUCGAAAGUGUGGGUAUCAAACAGGAUUAGAUACCCCAGUAGUC
rnacentral:rRNA from 1 species